CAAUAGCGUAUAUUAACGUUGUUGCAGUUAAAAAGCUCGUAGUUGGAUUUCUGGAGGGAGCGUCGGCCCGUAUUUACGAGUGCGUGACGUCUCUGUCCAUCCUUGCGGGAAGGCACGGCAUUGAUUUGUUGUGUCGGAUCGCAUCAUUUACUGUGAAAAAAUUAGAGUGUUCAAAGCAGGCUUUCGCUUGAAUACAUUAGCAUGGAAUAAUAAGAUAGGACUUUGGUGCUAUUUUGUUGGUUUCGAACACCGAAGUAAUGAUGAGAAGGGACAGUCAGGGGCACUCGUAUUCCGCAGAGAGAGGUGAAAUUCUCAGACCCGCGGAAGACGAACCACUGCGAAAGCAUUUGCCAGGGAUGUUUUCACUGA
rnacentral:rRNA from 1 species